rnacentral:rRNA from 1 species
AUGAAAAUCCUGAGAUGGAACUGCCGGGGACUCGGACAACCCCGUACAUUUCAAGAAUUGGUGUGCAUGGUGAGCACACACCGUCCAUCCAUAGUCUUUCUUUCGGAGACUAGACAGAAUAAGGAGAGAGUAAGCAACCUCAUGUGGCGUCUGGGCCUUAAGAACUGUAUGCUGCAUGAUGGUAUAGGAAAAGGAGCAGGAAUCGCUCUGUACUGGGAUGAA